AUUGAAACAGAAAAGGCUAAGGCAACAAGUGACUUGGAGGUGUAGCUCAUGCAUGGCAGCAGGCCUCCUCCGCCAGCUCCACCCCGUUGACGCUCUCGUCCCCCAUCCUCUUCUCCUUGUAGACGUAACCCCUGGCGGCCGCCGCGAAGACCACCAGGUUCAGCACGCUCAGCACCGCCAGAAGCCAGUAGAAGUCGUACAGCUUCCCUUUGUUCAGGUUGUCCGGUAGCCACGCCCCCUUUCCGCUCUCCCCCGUCACCUUGUGGACAAUGGUGACCAGCGUGGAGCUCAGGAAGAAGCCCAGCGAGAGCGUGCUUAGGAACAAGCCGGUGCUCAUCGUUUUCAUCCCCUUGGGGCACUCCCGCAGGAAGAAGUCCAGCUGGCCGAUGUAGGUGAACGCCUCGCCUGCCCCCACCAGCAAGAACUGCGGCACCAGCCAGAAGACGGUCAGGGGCACGACGGCCGCGGUCGGGUCAGUCCGGGCUGCCCGGAGGCGCUUGCGUUCGGUGAGGGCGGCGGCGCACAUGGCGACGAUGGAGAGGACGAGGCCGACCGCGAUGCGCUGGAGAGGUGUCACUCCCUGGGGGUUCCCGGUGAGGCGGCGGGCGGCGGGGACGAUGAGGCGGUCGUAGAUGGGGACGGUGAUGAGGAUGGAGCCGACGAAGAAAACAGUGAGGGAGCCGGCGGGGAUCUCGAAUGAGGGGCCGAUGUGGCGGUCCAUGGUGGUGGCCUGCGACACUGAGAAGGUGGUCAUCUGGGCGUAGACGGUCCAGAACAUGAUGGUUGUGGCCCAGGUGGGGAGCAUUCGGAUCACUUGCUUCACCUCCUCCACGUCCGUCAAGGUGGAAAGCCGCCACUUGGUCUGGUCCACCGUCGCGUCUCCUUCUACGAUGGCCGCCCGGUCCAAGAAGCUGCCAUAAGUUGUUAAAGAAGAAGAAUCAGUACUACUAUUACAUCACCUUUGUACUGUUUCUGCUGUAAAAGUCGUGCAAUCGAUAUAUUGCAUGUCUCGAGAUUUAUCGCCUAAUCCUAUCAUUAAUUAACUGUGCACUCUAUCUUGAUACAGAAAUAUACCACUAAUUAAUGACAAGAUAACACUACCUUUUCUUAACAUGACAUUACACUAAUUAUUUUUCAGUUGUCAUUACAUAACUAAGCAUGCGCACACUUCCCCAAGAUGUAUUAAAUGCAAAUUAAAAGUAAGGAAUAAAAACAUGAACCAGCAGUAAGAACUGAGUGUCGCAUAGAACUGUCAUGACCCCAUCUGAGGCCUAACAAGGGAGGGAAGAAGGAGACCAUCUUCAAGUGAAACAGCAAGCCAUUUACUACCAUAUUUUGUUCCUCCAGCAAAACCCCCCCUUUCUCGUGACUCAUUCGUGGAUGUCGACUUCGAUCAGAGCAGAGACAGGACUGUGAAGGAGACAACAAUGGAACGACUUGCUUCAAGUGGAAAAAGCUACUGUGCGUUAGGUUGUCUCCAUGGCGAAUGGGUUCGGAAAUAGGCACCACCAUGACAUGAACCUGUGAUCUUUAUAUAUAUUCUUUGUCUUCAUCCUACGCUGCAGUUUCUCUUUUACGGUCUCGGUGACUAGGGUUUGUCAUAGAAGUAACUUACAAGCUCUCAACUACGAAGCUAUUCUUCUUCAUUUUCACUGGCGCUAAAGAGAGUUGGAAAGGUCUAAUAGCUUGACAGUGGUAGGGGGUACCAAAACCAGCUCAGCAUGGCAGGAGACCAUUCAUUGCUUUACUGUGAAGAUUUUGUCUGUUCAUGAACUUUGGUUGCCCUAAUGCAUGCACCACCACCUUCUCCUCUCUUUCAGGGCAGGGAAAAUAAGGGAAGGGAACUGUAAUAGCAAAAACUCACCUACCGUCUUCCAAACUGCUCAUCUGUCACUUCACCCCAUCAAGCUCAAGGAGCUAGCUGAUGACUAAAUUCUUACGGAACGGAGGUGUAUCAGGGACAGGCUUCAACUGUGGCUGAUGAGAGAGUUCUUUAAAGGAUGGGGUAAAGGGUGGAUGGGAGAACCCCAAGAAGAUGUGAUUGCUGAACACAUCCCUUGGCCAAUCAGGCUCUCACGACUCAACGUAGAGAGCUUAGAGGUCAAAUUGUUCCUUCUUUUAUUGAUCUCCGGAUCAAGAUCUCAUAUAUUUAAUCUCCACCCUCCCACCGCGUAGGUUGAUCAUUGGAUACUUUGCCUCCUCACUCACUGAUCUGAGGGAUCUUCUGUCGACUACAUGCUAACAAAUGACAGGUCAAGGAUUGCUGGCUCGUUCCCAUAACUUCAUAUUGUGGGGAAAGUCUUAUCUACUCGGUGUUAGAAUGGUUCGUGGGGUCUCUCACUAAGCAGGGGUCCCUUUUGUGAUUCUGCCACAGCACAAGCUAUCCCAAUCUCGGACUCGGUUACCUGCGUUCUUCUUCGAGCUGAAUAAUUAGAAAAAGAUGACGUCCAUAUGAUUUGAAGAUAAGACUGUCAUGUUGUAUCGAUAAGUUUCAGUGGUCGAAGGAUUUUGGCUUGCUUAGAGAUGGGUCUCUCUCUCUCUGUCUCUCUCUUCUAAGACAUGAUGGCGAGUUUUGUGAGGAGGAGAACCUGUAAUGGACAUCGGAGGAGGAUUUGGAACCUUCUUAUUUUUUCUUGUUGAUAGGAGGGUCGCCAAUUUUCUGUAGGCCAGCAGUUGAUAUGGUUAGGAAUAAAGAAACGUAAGGUUGACAACCAAUCAGUAGGCCGAAAGGUCAUAUGCCCUUCACAGCCACGCCAUAUUUCUAUGAUCCAGAGAUGAACAAGUGUUUGAUGUGGUCAAAGGUAUCAUCAGAUUAAAAAGAGAGGCAAAAAAAUAGCAAGAAAAGAAGAAAAAUAAGAAGAGACUGUAGUGCAUGAAGGUGGGACCAUUAAGCGGCCUCGGUGGGGGCACACUUGGAUGAGUUCAGUGUGGACCCACUGGCAACCCGUGCUGGUCCCACGCAGUCGAGCCAAUUGGCUUUGGACAUGUCAACGAAUAAGCGUGAGGGAGGAGGAAGGCAAGCGUUACCGGAACUGCUUGGUGUGGAGCAGCCUCUGCUUCUUCUUGUUGGAAUAGGGGGCGCUGCAUCCUUCGGCGGUGUCGAUGUCGUGGAGCAUGGAGGAGUCCGGUACGUCGAGGCGCCUCUUCCGCCACGCGCUGACCACGACGGAAGCGAUCUGGGAAAGCGGGCUCCCCACCAGCCUCUUGAAACGAUACCUGCUGGUGCCGGACAAGAACACGGCCAAGCCAGCCACGAUGGCCACGGCGCAGAUGCCGUAGCCCCACCGGCGCCCGACGUUGUCUUGGAUGUAGACCAGCACGGUCACGGCCAUCAGCGCCCCAAUGCUAAUGAAGAAGAAGAACCAGCUGAAGAACCGCAUCAUCUGCUUCUUCUCGGCCCGGUCGCCCUCGUCGAACUGGUCCGACCCGAACCCGGACACGCUCGACUUGAGCCCGCCCGUCCCAAGGGCCGUCAGGUAGAGUCCCAGGUACAGCACACCCAGCUGCGUCCCGUUCGCCGUCACACACCCGCCGCCCAGCGGAUUACUGCACUCCGGGGGCCUCAACCCCGGCGCCGCCGUCGAUAUGGUCAAGAUAGUCACCCCCUUCAGUAUAAAUUUCGUUCAGUAUUGCUUGAUUCUUAGCAAUUCGUAUACCACUACUAAAACAUCAAAGGCGAGGAAUGCGAAAUGCUUACGGAGGCUUGGAUGGCGGUGAAGAUGGCGAUGGUGAGGUAUCUGAAAAGAAAUGAGCAGAAUUAAGACGAUGAACUGAGUCUUAGGAAUUCCUUGUCGGUGCAUGGAGUUGGGGAAGGGAGGAUACCGGCCGAGGUAGGUAUCGGCGACGAAGCCACCGAGGAGGCAGAGCAUGAAGGAGGUUCCCAAGAAGUUGGUGACAACGUUAGCGGAUGCGGCAUUGCCGAGGUGCAUGGUGCCGGUCAGGUAGGUCACCAGGUUCACCGCGAUGCCCAGCGUCGUCAUCCUCUCGCACAGCUCCACCCCUUGGUUUAUUUCCCAUUGGCAUCACAUCCACAACCAUCUUACUAUCAGUCACGGAGCAAACACAGGUAGGCAACUGAAAACAAGGAAAGAGAGCCAUGACCGGACCUAAGAUCAUGGCGGCGCUUGUCCAGCCGCCGGUGGUAGACUUGACGGCAGGGCGGCCCUUGAAGUCCCAUGCGUCGGCGAGGGUCUUACCCUCUUCGGCGGUCUCAGGUAAGCUGGCCAUCUCCCACUACAAAUCUCGCUCUAGGAUUAACAGGCGUGCGUUAUUAGUAGCAAAAGGUAGGUGGAAGAGCAGAGAGAAAACAGUAGUAUUAGAUGAUAGAAAAGAAGAAGAAGAAGAAGUGAGGAUGCAGGUGGGGUGGGAGACGGGGAUUUUAUAAGCAGAUGGCAGGGGUUGUUUGGUCUUUAUACAUACAGCAAGCAUACGCCAUCGUGUAUUAUACCGACAGUCCCACCCCAAAACUAACCUUCUAAUUUUGAGGAGGUAAAAGCUUCUUUUCUCUCUAUGAAUUGACUAAAACUUCAAUGCUGCUGAAACAAUUUAAAAGCAUAGAAAAGUACAUCAUCCAGCUAAGAGUAGCAAUAUCCAAGUCAAAUCAUGAAGGAUGAUGCAAUAAUGCACCCCUGAUGGUUUAUUCUAAGGGAGAAGAGAAGCUGUGUGAUCUUAGGAACACGAAGAAAGAAGUCGCUUGAAGCUUUAAACUCGCCACAAUGAAUGCCACCUAAGCGUUGAGCCAUGCGGGUGCACCUGUCUUACUGAGACAUCAACGGGUGACAACCUUGCAGGUAUAAGUCACACGGCCACCGGCAAUUGUUGGUGCCAAGUGAGAUGGGAAGCCAGAUAUCAUGUAUUCUUUUUUAUUUGACUUCAAUUUAUGGCAAUUUACGUAACGAAAAAUAGAAAUUAUCUCACAACAAAACAAUGAUAAAUCAUGAUAACUCACAAAACCGAGAGAUUAAUCAAGUCAACUUGGUUUGCUAAGAUGCAAGUCGGCAGUUCUUUGUUCAUUGUUUGCCACGAAUCCGGAAAAGAAAAGACUGACUUCAAAUGUAAAUGAAGAAGAUACCAUCUCGGUGCGUUGAACGUUGUCCAUGGCGGCCGACACGAGCUCAGAGCUGUGACAACGUCGAGACGCUCCAUUCACGAGAGAGAUGGGUCAAGCAAAAGUCAAAACUUCGAGCCUCUAGCGGCGAUUCCACCAGCGUCGAUCCGACGCGGUUCGGUUUGUCGCCAUGGAAUCCAAACCUCGAGACUCUAGCGGCGGUUCCACCAGUAUCGAUCCGACGCGGUUCGGCUUGUCGCCGUGGUCGUAGCCUCGUCCGCUUGCUCCAUGUUGUCGGUCGUUGGCUCCACACGCUGUGGAAGGGAAGUGUCGAUGGCUGGCAGUCGUCCCAUUUGGCCUUCCUGAUUAAGAACACUCACCUUUGGAUCUCUCUGUUCAAUCCACUCCGUCGCAGCAACAGCAGCAUGAGGGAGGGAGAGAGAGGGAGAAGAGGAAGGUAUUCUUUAAGCUUUACAUCCUCGAGCUUUUGAAGCUCCCUUGUGAGUGUAAUCGAUGAUACGUCGAAGAUGACACAGUACUACAUUGCCUGUUUGCAUGUCUUUCGUCAUUAUUGUCACCCACGGAAGAAAACAGUAAGAAGGAAGUCAACUCUCAAGUCAUUUAUCGAAGCUACAGCAAUCUGUCUCCAAGUCAAGAGUCCAAAUACACGCAUUGGAAACAUUUCAUGUCCUAGAAGACUUGUCACCACCAUCACUGAUCCAUGAGAGAACACAGUGAACAGUUGUUCUACUGCUCGGAACUCAACAAUAGUUAGCAGGGUCAACUUUGUCCUGGUUUGUUCAUUUGCUGGAAAAUGAAGCCUGAUUAGUAGAUUCUCUUCUAGUGUUGAAGAUGGAAAUGCCAGAAAUAAGUACAUGUGAGAGGUUUUUGAUACUAAAGCAAGCAUAAGUUUAGUGGUUUAAUUGAUUUUUUGUCAAUAGAGUCACAUAUAGCCAAUUUGAAACACGGUUCUAAACACGCCGAGCGAUCUCAUUGGAGCAGAUAGAUUUGAUCAAUAAUGCGUGUGCACAAUAUGUAGGAAAACUCUGCUUCUUGUGUACUAUUGCCCUAUUCAUGAGACUGUAGCAAAAUAAAUGAGAAGAUGAUGUUGAUCCAAUCCAAGGACAGAUAUUUCAAGGAAUCGUAUUUUGGAUAAGGAUUCCAUUGCAACAACUGCAAUCUAGUAAGGAACAAUUACCCUUAGAAAUUUCUCACCGUCUUUUUCAUCCAAACAUUUACAUCAAAGAAUCAAUAUGGUAGCUGAAUUCAGCAGUGCCAAGCUAAAACCACAUCAACAUGGUACCAGCUGCUGGAGUCUCCUAAUGAGAACGACAGGUUCUUCUGCUCAACGAUGGUGGAGUCUCUCGCAGACCUUAUGAACAGUACACCAUUUAUCUUGCACAGCAAAUGUCAUCAUACAGACAGGAGAAGCUGCAAAACUAUACCUAACGAAAAUAUAAAAGCAGUUACCGACACAGCCAGUGGCUUCUCCACCGCAAGCUUGUACGGACAGAGACGAGAGCGGGCAAGACAAAUGAUAGAGCCGUCCAAUCUACGUGCUGCUGUAGAUGGUUUGCGACUAAAAUCCCAAAGCCGAGUCCCACAGGAACAGCGAGGGUUCACGGAAUUCCAGGACUUCGUCCUCCCGUCCUAAGCAAGUUUGGAGUUAGCCGCAGUCCUUUGCACAGCUUCUGGGGCCGAAGCUUUCUGGAUAGACAUGCAUUGGUCUCUCGCCGUGCCUACAAGCAGGACUUUAAUGGGCCUUAUUUGGUACAGAGUAGACCAAUGAAGCCAUCCCGUUCGGCCCUCUGUGUUGCCUGCUUACAAUAUUAAUAUAAAAAGGGUCGAUAUUCUAAAUUAGCAGACUCCUAAUCUAAAUUUUUUGAGCCUUUAUCAAGUUGAGAUUCUCUGUAAAUUUACUUGUUCUGCAUACCGUAUUCCAAGUUUGACAGCGUUAAUGCGUCAAAGAUUCAGAAGCUUCAUUGAAGUCACGCUUAUGCGAUCUUACAGCGGCUUACAUAAUUGAGAAAUGUGCUAUAUAUAUAUAAAAGGAGCUCAUGCAUGGCAUCAAGCCUGCUGCUCAAGUUCCACACCCUGAGCGUCGUCGACGGACGUUCUAGUCUCCUUGUAAACGUAGCCUCUUGACGCCGCGACGAACGCCACCAGAUUCAGAGUGCUCAGAGCGACCAGAAGCCAGUAGAAAUUGUACAGCUUCCCUUUGUUCAGAUCGUCCGUCAACCACGCACCCUUUCCGCCGGAACCCGUCACCUUGUGGACUAUGGUGACCAGCGCCGUGCUCAGGAAGAAGCCCAGAGAGAGCGUGCUUAGGAACAGGCCGGUGCUCAUCGUCUUCAUCCCCUUGGGGCACUCCCG
rnacentral:lncRNA from 1 species